AAUUUAUUUAAAGUCAAGGAAAGGACACUUGUAGUCCACAUAAACACAUACCGAUUGAAAACGGGCUUUUGUGAAAAAAAUUAUAAUGAAUGCACUGAUAGUUCUUUUUUUAAUCAGAGGUCUGCAAUGAAAAUCGACCGAUACCCGGGGGUCGGGCUAGUGGUUUUCUGCAAGAGGGUCGCCCCGUUGGCCAGUAAAAAAAGAUAAUAUUAUUUAUACACGUGCAAUACAUGCAAAGCACACCUGAGUUCAGAUACUGAAAGUGAACAUCAGUGGAACUUUGAUGAUCUAGGCCGCUCUAUUUUUGCAGCAACACCAUCAUGCGUCGGACAUUCAUAAAGUUGAAAGAACAAACCUAUGACUUGAACACACAAUUUGUGAUCUGAAUAUAGUUCACAAAUUUAAGGAAAGCAACUAUCAAAGACAUCCAGAUUGAUGGUAUACAUGAAGUAUGAAUGAAAGACUUUUCAGAAGAACAAGCACAAUCCCGAUUCAUUCUUGCCAUUGUCUUCUCCAGACGGUGACAUUUAGGACCUGACUUACUUUUCAGAAAAAGAAGAUGAAUCGAUUUUUGAUAGUUGAUCUUAAAAAGAUAACAUUUUCAGGGGUCGUGGAUUGAAUGACAUUUUCUUGCAAUCUCCCAUGCAGAGUUGUCAGGUGAAUGUAUGAGCCGAUGGUAGAGAGUGAUUUUCUUGAUGGGCAACUAGUUUCAAGUAUUUGGAUGUCUAUUCUCAAGUUACUGCAAACCUUAAAUUAACUUCUUGAUUAUUAGUUAAAUGUGAGACCGUUUCUUACUUGAAGUAAUCAUUUUUUGAAUUGAGCUAUGUAAUCUCUGAUUACUUAUGUUUAUGAGUAGUGUUCAGCUUUAAGACAAAAGGAUCUUUUAUGAACAUUGCAUUCGUCAUGGUGAAUUUCUAUACAUUAAGUAACAGUCAUAGUUUUCGUCUUUUUUAAUUAGCGAUCUCAUUUUAAAUGUGAGAAAUAAUUAUUAAACUGAAAUGUACAUUUAUGUUGUUUGAUUUUUAUUUUUUUGAAAAUUGUAAAUCAAUUGCAUGUUGUUGUUUUUUUUUUUUCAUUUUAUUUUAGGGGAUAGGAGUGGGGGUGCAGCUGUAAGUUUGAGUAUAUUUUCCAAAAGGAUGUACAUCGUUAUUUUUGUUUAAAUAUCAAUUUUAAAAUGCAAAAUGAUGAGAUAUUAGACUACACAUUUUUUCUUAAAACUUCAUUUAAAUUAAUAUAUUUUGUUUAAAAUAAGUAGCAACACCAUGCAAGUUUUAGAGUUAUUUGACAACUCACUAUAUACUUGUUUUUUUUUUUUUACAUUUAUGAAGAUUGUCUCAAAUUUUGAGGGUUUUUUUCUGUGUUCUACAUUUAUUGACAUGUUUCUUAUCUGUGUUCAUCUUGUCGAGUAAAUGAAAAG